UUCCUACGGGAGGGCACAGUAGGGAAUAUCCGCAAUGGGCGAAAGUCUGACGCAGCCACGCCGCGUGAGUGAAGAAGGCCUUCGGAUCGUAAAGCUCUUCGUAAAGGAAGAACAAGUACGUUAGUAACUGAACGUACCGGACGUACUCUA
rnacentral:rRNA from 1 species